AGAGUUUGAUCAUGGCUCAGAUUGAACGCUGGCGGCAGGCUUAACACAUGCAAGUCGAACGGUAACAGAAAGUAGCUUGCUACUUUGCUGACGAGUGGCGGACGGGUGAGUAAUGCUUGGGAAUAUGCCUUAUGGUGGGGGACAACAGUUGGAAACGACUGCUAAUACCGCAUAACAUCUCCGGAUCAAAGUGGGGGACCUUCGGGCCUCACGCCAUAAGAGUAGCCCAAGUGGGAUUAGCUAGUUGGUAAGGUAAUGGCUUACCAAGGCGACGAUCCCUAGUUGGUCUUAGAGGAUGACCAGCCACACUGGAACUGAGACACGGUCCAGACUCCUACGGGAGGCAGCAGUGGGGAAUAUUGCACAAUGGGCGCAAGCCUGAUGCAGCCAUGCCGCGUGUGUGAAGAAGGCUUUCGGGUUGUAAAGCACUUUCAGCGAGGAGGAAAGGGUAUUGCUUAAUAGGUAAUAUCUGUGACGUUACUCGCAGAAGAAGCACCGGCUAACUCCGUGCCAGCAGCCGCGGUAAUACGGAGGGUGCGAGCGUUAAUCGGAAUUACUGGACGUAAAGCGCGCGUAGGUGGUUAAUUAAGUCAGAUGUGAAAUCCCAGGGCUCAACCUUGGAACUGCAUUUGAAACUGGUUAACUAGAGUUUUGUAGAGGGUGGUAGAAUUUCAGGUGUAGCGGUGAAAUGCGUAGAGAUCUGAAGGAAUACCAGUGGCGAAGGCGGCCACCUGGACAAAGACUGACACUGAGGCGCGAAGGCGUGGGGAGCAAACGGGAUUAGAUACCCCGGUAGUCCAA
rnacentral:rRNA from 1 species